CAGGUGCCUUCUUCUCCCCACCCCCAGGUCAGGUACAGUGUGGCCAAGUGCACUGUAGGCUCCCCUACACGGCGCCGCCGGUGCACCUCAAAGCGGACAUGGACGGACCACUCUCUAAUCGGGGUGAGAAGGUAAAUGGAGGCCCUGCUCUAGGCUGUG
rnacentral:sRNA from 1 species